UACGUAGGGUGCGAGCGUUAAUCGGAAUUACUGGGCGUAAAGCGUGCGCAGGCGGUAAGUUAAGUCUGAUGUGAAAGCCCCGGGCUCAACCUGGGAAUGGCAUUGGAAACUGGCUUGCUAGAGUGUGGCAGAGGGGGGUGGAAUUCCGCGUGUAGCAGUGAAAUGCGUAGAGAUGCGGAGGAACACCGAUGGCGAAGGCAGCCCACUGGGCAGUCACUGACGCUGAGGCGCGAAAGCUCGGGGAGCGAACGGG
rnacentral:rRNA from 1 species